rfam:Schistosoma mattheei strain Denwood, Zambia genome assembly, scaffold: SMTD_scaffold0015895
ACACUUAUGAGGAGUCCCAUACUAGGACGAAACGGCCGUCCAGUGC